rnacentral:rRNA from 1 species
GAUGAACGCUGGCGGCGUGCCUAAUACAUGCAAGUCGAGCGAACGGACGAGAAGCUUGCUUCUCUGAUGUUAGCGGCGGACGGGUGAGUAACACGUGGAUAACCUACCUAUAAGACUGGGAUAACUUCGGGAAACCGGAGCUAAUACCGAAUAAUAUUUUGAACCGCAUGGUUCAAAAGUGAAAGACGGUCUUGCUGUCACUUAUAGAUGGAUCCGCGCUGCAUUAGCUAGUUGGUAAGGUAACGGCUUACCAAGGCAACGAUGCAUAGCCGACCUGAGAGGGUGAUCGGCCACACUGGAACUGAGACACGGUCCAGACUCCUGCGGGAGGCAGCAGUAGGGAAUCUUCCGCAAUGGGCGAAAGCCUGACGGAGCAACGCCGCGGGAGUGAUGAAGGUCUUCGGAUCGUAAAACUCUGUUAUUAGGGAAGAACAUAUGUGUAAGUAACUGUGCACAUCUUGACGGUACCUAAACAGAAAGCCACGGCUAACUACGUG